rnacentral:lncRNA from 12 species
GUUUGGAGCAGUCAGUAACAGCACAUCUGCAAUUAAUCCUGUGGAGAACCACAAACCUCUGGCAAACUCUGUCUUAAAGUCACUUUCAAGUCAGAGAACUGAGGAGACAAUGAACCUUGAGGUGCCAGAAAGGAAAUGCCCCUGCACCAGAGCAACCUGGGGAGCUGUCUGGACACCCAAGAGGCACAGCUGUGUUAUAAGAAGUGGACAAAACACUAAGAAAGUCAGCUUUGAACACAUUCCCUCCACAGCUGGGGCACCUUUUGGAAGCUGUAGGAAAAGUCCAGGUUUUGACAAGAACAUGGCUCCAGGACUACCACAGCUAUGAAAAAUAGUUCAUU